rnacentral:rRNA from 1 species
CCUACGGGAGGCAGCAGUGGGGAAUUUUCCGCAAUGGGCGAAAGCCUGACGGAGCAAUACCGCGUGAGGGAGGAAGGCCUUUGGGUUGUAAACCUCUUUAAUCAGGGAAGAAAAUUUGACGGUACCUGAAAAAAAAAGCAUCGGCUAACUCCGUGCCAGCAGCCGCGGUAAUACGGAGGAUGCAAGCGUUAUCCGGAAUAAUUGGGCGUAAAGGGUCCGCAGGUGGCCAUUCAAUCUGCUGUCAAAGACCGUGGCUCAACCACGGGAAGGCAGUGGAAACUGUUUAGCUAGUAGAGUACGGUAGGGGUAGAGGGAAUUCCCAGUGUAGCGGUGAAAUGCGUAGAUAUUGGGAAGAACACCGGUGGCGAAAGCGCUCUACUGGGCCGAAACUGACACUGAGGGACGAAAGCUAGGGGAGCGAAAGGGAUUAGAUACCCCUGUAGUCCUAGCUGUAAACGAUGGAUACUAGGUGUAGCUUGUAUCGACCCGAGCUGUACCGAAGCUAACGCGUUAAGUAUCCCGCCUGGGGAGUACGCACGCAAGUGUGAAACUCAAAUGAAUUGACGG